AAUAAAUUUUUUAUGAUUUAUAUAAUUUUUUUUAAAUUUAUUUUACAUAUAAAUUUUAGUGUUAAUUUUUAAUUAUUUUAAUAAUAAUUAAUUUUUAUAGUAGUAAUUAAUAUUAAAAAUUUAAGAAAUUAAGAUUUAGUAAUAUUAAAAUUAAUAACAAAUUUUGUGCCAGCAGUUGCGGUUAUACAAAAGUUAAAUUAAAUUUUAUUAGUUAAUUAAUAAAUAAUUGAAAAAUUAAUAUAAAUAUUAAAUUAUUAGGUGAAAUUUUAAUUUAAUAAAAAAUUAUAAUUUAAUUUAUGAUUUAAUAAAUUUUAUAUUAAACUAGGAUUAGAUACCCUAUUAUUAAAAAUUUAAAUUAAAAUACUAAAAUAGUAUAUAAUUAUUUAUUGAAACUUAAAUAAUUUGGCGGUAUUUUAGUUCAUUUAGAGGAAUCUGUUUAUUAAUUGAUAAUCCACGAAUAAUUUUACUUAAUUAAAAAUUUUGUAUAUCGUUGUUAAAAAAAUAUUUUUAAAUAAUUUUAAUAUUUUAAAAUUUAUAAUAAAAAUUAAAUCAGAUCAAGAUGCAGAUUAUAAUUAAGAAUAUAAUGGAUUACAAUAAAUUUAUUUAUAUGGAUAUUUAAUUGGAAAAUUAAAUUAAAAGUGGAUUUAAAUGUAAUUUUAUUUAAUUUAUUAAAAUGAUUAAAAAUUAAAAUAUGUACAUAUUGCCCGUCGCUUUCAUUUAUAAAUUGAAAUAAGUCGUAACAAAGUAGAGGUACUGGAAAGUGUUUCUAGAAAGA
rnacentral:rRNA from 14 species